GUUCUCCAGCCGAGGCUCGGGACUGCUGCAGGGUGGAAAAUGAAAGUUCUGAGAGCACCUUCCGCCCCUCCGCUUCUGCACAGCCGGGGCUGCGGUGCGAGGAGCUUGGCCGCGGGGCCCGAACGAGGCGAAGGGGCCGGGGCCCUUGGGGAACCCCCUUCUCUCUUCCACUCUCCCUUAGGUAAAACCCGUGUUCCUCUCACGCUCGACCCAGCGCCUUUCCAGCUGCGGUCGAUUUGCUUCUCCGCGUGUAAGUACAGCCACCCUCAAGGUCAUUGAAAAAGUUUGCUUUAAAUGAGCGUCUGCGGAACUCGUCCUGAGGCUCUCACUGUUACAGAUUAGAGAUGGGGGCGCUUUCUAGUGGAGGAUUUUGCUUUUGCUCUUCUACUUUUGCAAGAAGCUUUUUGUCCUGAAAAGUGGACAGUCAUCUCCAUUUAUAGCUUGGAAUGAAAAUUUGACUAUGGAAGUUGCAGUCGCUACUUGAGAAAUAUUUCCUCCUUCUUUUUUUUUUUUUUUUUUUAUUUUUGACACGGAGUUUUGCUGUUGUUGCCCAAGCUGGAGAGCAGUGCGCGAUCUCGGCUCACUGCAACCUCCGCCUUCCGGUUUCAAGCGAUUCUCCUGCCUCAGCCUCCCGAGUAGGCGGGAUUACAGGUAUGUGCCACCAUGCCCGGCUAAUUUUUGUAUUUUUAGUAGACACGGGGUUUCACCAUGUUGGCCAGGCUGGUCUCGAACUCCUGACCUCGUGAUCCACCCGCUUCGGCCUCCCAGGUCCUCCUUCCGUUUUAAAGGAUAAACCUUGAAAUGCUUUUAAAAUAUGCAGCGUGUAGAAUUUGGUUAGUUGGUUGGUUGGGGUUUUUUAGAGAAAAUGAGAGGUAGAAUGGACUCUAAGUUAAACCCUGGGGGACAGUGUCACUCUGGCCGCUGGCCUGGCUGGGAAAGGCGAUGAGACCCUGAGCAGGUUAAAACCCGUGUCCUGAAGGUGUCCUGUAAAGGGAAAUAGGCCCGUUGCCUCCUUCGUAGGUGCCCUGAGACUCCGACAAGGCAGGAAUGCCAAGGUAUUUCGUACCUGCUCAGCCCUGGCAUGUCAGGUUGCUGAGACCGAGCAGUGUGGGGCUGAGGUGGAAGCGGACCUUCUGGGGCGUGGAAAGCGCACCAGGAGACCCCGGCUCCUUCUCAGCCAGCACUGCCUCAUCCUCAGAACAAAUUUAAGUCAAUUCAGCAUUUAUUCAAUGCCUGUUGCAUGCAAGUGACAACCUAAAUAACAGAGAGGAUCUCUAAAAGAAACAGAUAUUUAUUUUGCAAUAGAGCUUUGCAGUAGAAAUAUGCAUGCCAUGGUAAACUUGUGCAUAUUCAGAGAGGCAAGGAAAGCAAAGGCUUUAAAAAAAAUGAGGCGGAUUGCACAAUUGUUUGAAAAUAAUUAUCUGUGGCUACAAAGAUCCAUAACGAAGGCGAUGCCAGUUCAAAGUAGGACAGCCAGUGGCUGGGCCAUGUCCUUGCAGGACUAGUUUUUUGUGGGAGAUUGCAGUGGCCUUUGUGCAAGGUUGCGGUUUUUCCAGAGAGUCCUUUUUGUUAUCAGGCAUGCACGCGCAAGAACCCUCUCUUCAUGGCCUUCCCCGGCUCUGUUUGUCAGGGUUUUCUUAACAUUAGCGGCUCCAUUUCGAUUCUGACAAUUUUCACACAAGCUACAGUGCCUGGCCUGGGACGACACAAACAUGAGUCAGGUUUGGUGCCUGUUGGCCAGGCGCAGUGGCACACACCUGUAAUCCCACCACUCUGAGAGGCCGAGGCAGAUGGAUCCUUUGAGCCCAGGAGUUCAAGAUUAGCCUGGCAACAUAGGGAGACCCCCGUCUCUAUGAAAAUUACAGAAAAAAUUUGCCAUGCAUGGUGGUGUGCACCUGUAGUCCUAGUCCAAAGUUGCUUUGACUAUUCUGGAACAUUUACACUUCCAUAUGAAUUCUGGAAUCAAUGUAUCUAACCUCAGGAAACACAUUAAUGACAUAUAUAGUUAAAUUUAGGAAGAGUGGAUAUCUUUAUAAUAUUAAAAUGUCCCAUUUAUGAACAUGGUAUACCUCUCCAUUUAUUCAGCGGGUGUUCAAGGCUCACCUAGAAUUUUUACACUUCUUUCUACUUUUUUACCAUCAGGAAGUUUAAUCACUUCCUGGAGCAUGCUUUUUGAUUCUCCAAAUUUUACCCCCUGUCUGCUUCUCUCACCUGAGCUCUUUGUCCAUUUCUUCAUCCACCUACUAAGCCUUUCUACAUGGAUGUCUCAAUAUGGCAACCCACCACAUCGUUCAUCUGCCCUUCUGUAAAUGCAGAGUCAUUCAUUCUUUCACCUUCUUUAUAACCAUAUCCAAUUCAUCACCAAGCCCAAUGGAUUUUCCCUUCUAAAUAAAUCCCUCUAACAUCUUCUCUCUCUUUUCCCACAGACGCCCACUUGUCUGGAACCUUCUUACACCUAAAUAGUUAGAAUCCACUCCUAUUUGGUCUCCUUAACUCCAAGCUCCUGCCGUCCCAAUCACUGUCAGACUAACCUUUCAUAACCACUGCUUUCUCUACCCAGAGACCUGCCACGGCUCCCUACUUUCUAUCUCCACAAGUCCAAAUCCUGCCCCCCGCCACACACACACACACACACUUACCACCCUUUUUACAGUAGCUCUCCCGCCUCCUUUAGCUCCUGUUGCCCUGUGUGUGGCUUAUUUACAGGUUUGAUGGUGCAGUUUCCUUCUCUAGGGUGUUAGCUCCAUGGGGAAGCAGCUUCUUCUGUGUUGUUCACCACUGUGCCUGGUGAACACCACUGCACCUAGCACACAAUGGGCACUGAAGAAGGCACUGAGUCGCAGAAGAAUGAAUGAAUUCCCCUCCCUGGUGAGGCCAGAAGCAACAUCCUGUAAGCAUAUCAUGACCAGCUAUUCUCCACUUCAUUGCUCACUGAGUUUGCCCACUUGAAAAGCCCUCCAACCCCUCAUCUGUGCAGGUUUGGAAUUCUGUGCAGGACUCAGGGAUUCCAUGAGGUGCAGCCCAGGCACACCCCCUUCUAAUCCUCUCCCUCUGGGGAGACCUUUCCUGCUCCUUCAUAUGAGUUUCUACCACCCUGCUGGCCUCUUCGAUGCAGUUUAGCCCCUGACAAUGACUAACGGACUCAUUUGACUCUCAUCAUCUCUAGUAAUUUAAAAAUUCCCUAGGGUCAGGGAGCAGGUCCUAACCUCAUUCAACACCUCACCCAGUGCCUUGUCCCUUUCUCAGCACAUUCUUCUACUCAGUAAAUGUUUGAAGAAGCCUCAUGAGGGCAGGAAUCUUUGUGUUUUGUUUCUCUUAUGUCUCCCAAGUACCUGGCCCUGGAAGGCAAUUGAUGCUCAAUCAAUACACAUUUUAAUAAAUUCGCUAGUGAACUGAAACACCACCUGAAACACUGCUGCUUUUAGAGUUUGUGGAGGGAGGGACUGUUCCCUGCACCUACCCCAGUGACUGGCACCUGGAAUUCACCGAGCAAGUUGGUUGAAAAAGUUAAAGGAAUUUUCCAGCACUUUGAAAACUAAACCAAGAGAAUGUCUCCAUAUCAAAUUUCAGCCACUCCUUAUAAAAAUGUCUUAAAGGCUGUAAAUCACCGUAUUCACCUGCAGGAAGCAGUGUUGAGGAAGGAGGUAGUAUAGGGUUAAGGGUCUAUUUAAACCAGCUGCUUAGGGCCAAGUUAGAUGUUUAUUCUGUCUAGUUUAAACCACUGGCUUAACAGGGUACUUAAUUUUCCAGUUUCAUCAAAGAAAUGUGCUGUGAGGCCAAGAAAAUUAUGUAGUUCAUUUUUUUAAAAGAGAUGCAAACUGAGAAAUUCUGUGACCAUUAACAGUCUCAUUAAAGAAAUAAGAAAAUAUGAUUGUUUCUCUUAGAUUUUGCAAAAUGGCUAAGGAGCAUUUUUAGACACUUUGUUGUAGAACAACUCUCUUUUAAGCUACUUUCCUCCUUUCUUAAAAACAAAAUAUAGGCCGGGUGUGGUGGCUCACACUUGCAAUCCCAGCACUUUGGGAGGCUGAGGCAGAUGGAUCACCUGAGGUCAGGAGUUCGAGACCAGCCUGGCCAACAUGGUGAAACCCCAUCUCUACUAAAAGUACAAAAAUUAGCUGGGCGUGAUGGUAGGCACCUGUAAUCCCAGCUACUUGGGAGGCUGAGGCACGAGAAUCGCUUGAAUCCAGGAGGCAGAGGUUACAGUGAGCCGAGGUCAUGCCACUGCACUCCAGCCUGGUGGUCAGAGCGAGACUUUGGCUCAAAAAAAAAAAAAAUGUAUUAUCCAUUUAUUAUGUACUCAUUCAGCAGAUAGGAGCAAAAGCGCCCAUUCUACUCUUAAGUCCCAACCCAGAAAUAGAGCAGUGAGGGAAACUGACAGCAUCCUGGGCCUCAGCACCUGCUGGGAGAAAGAGCCAACAAAAUACACAGCAACACACAGGAUAUAGCACCCUUGGUGUUGAUUAAACGCUAGAUGAAGAAAAGGGAGGAGGAGACGGGAGGAAUGCAGGCUGAGGCGGUGGCAGGGGGCUCCAUUUUAAACAGGAUGUCGACAAAGAUAGAAUUUCAGCGAGUGCUAGAAUGAGGUAAGGACUUACAUCAACAAUCUGCCCGCACCAUUUCUUCUUAGAUUUCAGAAACUGUUUUCGUUUGAUUCAAUACUGGUGCCUUCCUUCGGUUCAUUUUCUGUUUAUCAUAAAAAUUAUCCUAGGUCUUCAAAACUAAUUUAAUGGAAUUGUAUAGAAAUGGAAAUAAAAGUGACUACAAGCUUCAAAAAGGUAGAUUUUGGGUAUAAAGACAAUCUUAUAUAUUUUUUUCUUUUUCAAGACAAAGUCUCACGUUGUCAUCCAGGUUAGAGUGUAGUGGCACGAUCUAGGCUCACUGCAACUUCUGCCUCCCCGAUUCAAGCGAUUCUUGUGUGUCAGCCUCCUGAGUAGCUGGGACCACGAGCGUGCACCACCACGCCUGGCUAAUUUUUGUAUUUUUAGUAGAGAUGGGGUUUUGCCAUGUUGGCCAAGCUGGUCUCAAACUCCUGGCCCCAAGUGAUACACCUGUCUUGGCCUCCCAAAGUGCUGGGAUUACAGGCGUGAGCCACCAUGCCUGGCCAAAGUGGUGAAUUUUAUAUUAGUGUGGUUUUGCAGUGGCUAGGUCUGUGCAAACCUAUCCCCAAAGGCCAAGGAAACUGACAGGCUGAAUAAAGAGGCUGACAUACCCAGUUUCCUAGAAAGAAACAUUUAGGGCCAGGCGGGAAGACUCACGCCUGUAUCCCAGCACUUUGGGAGGCUGAGGUGGGUGGAUCACCUGAAGUCAGGAGUUCGAGACCAGCCUGGCCAACAUGGUGAAACCCCAUCUCUACUAAAAAUACAAAAAUUAGCUGGGCCUGGUGGUGCACACCUGUAAUCCCAGCUACUCAGGAGGCUGAGGCAGGAGAAUCGCUUGAACCUGGGAGGUGGAGGUUGCAGUGAGCCCAGAUUGCACCAUUGCACUUCAGCCUGGGCAACAAGAGUGAAACUCCAUCUCAAAAAAAAAACAAACAAGAAAGAAAAGAAAAGAAACAUUUAAUAAAGAUUGGCGAACAGAAGCCGUGUCUGUGUCUUGGGCACCCUUACCUGCCAGACGCAGGCCUUCUGUACUACAGCAAAAGGGUGACUCAGAGGGGAUGUGCAAGGGAAUUGAAGGACGAUAACAUCAAGGUUGUUUCAACCUAAGGACAGGAUUUACAAUGAGGACCUGCUCUUACUCAAGGAACAAUAAACUGGAAAUCCUAGAGGCCUUCCCAGAACUGGGGUUAGUCAGAAGUGAACCCGGCAGAUCGCGUCCCAGGUGGAGCUGCUUUAGCCUCCGUAUGUAUAUUUCACCCCCAAGAAAGGUUAAACCGAACUGACAACAGAGACAUUCCUCUCUGUACCUCUAUUCAAUAAUGAGGCACAGCAAACUGUAGAACGCAUGACAACCACAGAUAAGGAAAGCACUCGCACGGUCCUGACGCCAUUGCCCACCCUGACAUUCGUUCAUGGAGGUCGCCUGCACAUUCCAUCUUAUUCAAAGGGGUGGUGGAAUGGGGUGGGGGGAGAGCAUCUGCUAUUAUCUCCGGUCGAGUGCUAGAGGCUUGAGCCCACAUCUGGGGUCUGAGAGAGGAUCCUGCACUAGGAACUGGGACUUGAUAAUGGCCUCGAGGACAGCUUGGAGCGUAGAAAAUAUUUUUGGGUUCACUGACAUUUUAACUAUAAUUUUAUAUAAGAACUUAAAUCAUCAAAAUGGGGGAUCCAGGACUCUGUCCUCUUUAUGGGGCUGCUGGGCAAACUGACUCGCAGAGAGAUGAUGAGCCAUAAACAUCCACUCACAAGCGGGAGAAAGUCAAUGGAGACCGUGUGGAAACCACUUCCCCUGCUUAAAAAUCACCAAAGCCGUAAUGAUGGACAGUGAGACAGCAGUGACCCUCAGUAUUUCAAUGGGACGUGAAUAAUGUUUAAUUGUAUGUUCAUAUAUUGCUUAACAGUUUUAGAAAAUCUGUUCUUCUGCAGCACUAGCCUGCUCUGCCCAUCCCAAAAGUGAGUGGUGCCUGAAGGAAUUCUGAGCCCCUCUGUGAGAGGAAGCGCGUCUGUCUUUUCUUUACGACCCCGGCACUGAGCACAGGGCUUGGAAUACUAUAAGAAAUAAACACAUCUUUUAAAAAUAGUGAAAAACGGAGAGAACAUAAUCAAAUGCCCAUGUUAUUAUUCACGGCACGAGUGUCUUAGAGAAUACAGGUGUUUAGGGCUGAAGUGAGUCCCCCUGAGAUUCAUGCUGAAUCUCUAACCCUCAGCACCACACACUGAGCCUGAGCUUGAAGAGGGGGCCUUGAAAGGGUGAUUAAGUUAAAAUUAGGUCACUGGAGAGAGUCCUAAUCUAAUGUGACUGGUGUCUUUAUAAGAAGUAAUUAGGACACAGACACAUGGACCAAGGGGCAGCCAUGUGAGGCCUCACAUGGGUGGGAAGGUGAACCCAGCCCGGCCGACACCUUGAUCUUGGACUUCCAGCCUCCAGAACGGUGAGAAAACAAACAUCUGUUGUUGAAGCUGAUAUAAGAGUUAAGAAGAAAUCACUUAGGCAGAUAGUAAGGGUGUGAGUGUCCUCAAUAAGGCUUUUAUUUUUCAUGAAAAGCAGCCCCAGAUCAUUUUCUAACAAAGAGCAUCCUGUAAAGUGGAGCUGCAGACAUGGACAAGCAGGCUGGGAGCUUGCACGGGUGAAUGCCAGCGGGAACUAGGGUCUAGAAACGUUCAAGAUGGCGGCUGCAUCUUCCCUUCUCUGCCAGCCACGUGUAAUGUAAGGAGCAGAAAAAAUGGCACCGAUGGCCCAUCAACUCAAAAGCCCAUUUGCAUAAUAAGAUUAGGGUGGGGUGACCAGCCUUCCUGGUAUGCUAUGUAAACGCCAUACGUGAUCAAACCAAUUUGUGAGUCCUAUGUAAAUCAGACACUGCCUCCUCAAACUGGACUAUAAAACCGGGCGCAUUCACCACCAGCCAGUCUUUUCCGAUUGGAGACCCCUUUCUCUAUGGAGAGAGCUGUUUCUCUUUCUCUUCUCUUCUGCCUAUUAAACCUCCCCUCCUAAACUCCUCGUGUGCGUCCGUGUCCUAAACUUUCCUGGUGCGCGACAACGAACCCCAGGGUAUAUACCCCGACAACGUAGCUGCUUCAAAGCCACCAGGUCUGGAUGCUUUGUUGUGGCAGCACAGGAGGACUAGGGGGAAAAGAGGCCUCUGUUCUUGUUCCCAAGGAACAAGAAUGGAUGGAAUGGCCAUCCGUUUGUGGGGAAUCAAACAUAAAGACCCACAUGCAUCAUGAGACAGAUGUGUGGACAAGCCUCGAGACAUAAUAGGCAUUGCGUGUGGUCCACACUGCCAAGGGCUGGAGUCAGGGAAAAGGGAGAGGGGGUGGACAACGUUCUCAGCACCCAGUUAUGCUCAAUAAAUAUCUGUAGCCUGAAUGAGUCUGAAAACUUGAGCUGGAGUCAGUGAGGAAUACAAAAUCAAGAGAUGUAAAGAGGAAGAAGUGUUCGAGCACCUUGGCUCACGCCUGUAAUCCCAGUACUUGGGAAGGCCGAGGCUGGUGGAUCAUCUGAUGUCAGGAGAUCAAGACCAGCCUGGCCAACAUGGUGAAACCCUCUCUCUACUAAAAGUACAAAAAUUAGCUGGGCAUGGUUGUGGGUGCCUGUAGUCCCAGCUACUCAGGAGGCUGAGACAGGAGAAUCGCUUGAACCAGGGAGGCGGAGACUGAGUAAGCUGAGAUCGCGCUACUGCAUUCCAGCCUGGGUGAGGCAGAGUUAGACUCCGUCUCAAAAAAAAAAGUAAGAAGUGAAAUAUUUCAAGGCGGGCACAUCCACAAAACACCAGAAAAGGCAAUGCUUUCACAGAGAAGACAAACCAUCUUCUUUUCUCUCCUCGGUCAGAGACCAUCUGAUGCUCUAGACAGUGGCUGCAGUACUGGCAAGACAGGCAAGUCAAGGAGGUAACAUGGACGAAUUUGCACAACUUAGAAAAGACCUGUAGGUAUAAUGUUAAAAACAUUCAGCCCGGCGUGGCGGCCUGAGCUACUCUGGAGGCUGAGGUGAAAGGAUUGCUUGAGCCCAGGAGUUCAGCUGCAGUGAGUUAUGAUCAUGCCAAUGAAUAGCCACUGCACUCCAGCCUGGGCAACAUAGUGAGACUGCAGCUCUAAAUAGUUUUUUUUAAACUUUUUUUUUUUUUUUUUUGGAGACAAGGUCUGGCUCUAUUGCCCAGGCUGGAGUGCAGAGGCAUGAUCUCUGCUCACUGAAACCUCUGCCUCCCAGGCUGAAACCAUCCCCCACCUCAGCCUCACAAGUAGUGUGGACUACAGGUGUACACCACACCUGGCUAAUUUUUGUUUUUUGUUUUUUGGUUUUUGUUUUGUAGAGACGGGAUUUCUUCAUGUUGCCCAGGCUGGUCUUGAACUCCUGGGCUCGAGAGAUCUUCCUGCCUCCGUCUCCCAAAGUGCUGGGAUUACAGGUUUGCACCACUGUGUCCGGCCAGCAAGUACUUUGGAAUAGUUCCUUAUUCCGUCUGCAAAGGACGGUUCCUAGGGCUUAGCAAGGGGAAUUUGAACUGUUAAAGGAAAAACCUAAGCCUAAAGUAUUAAACUAUGGGGAAGGGCCAGGUGCAGUGGCUCACACCUGUAAUCCUAGAACUUUGGGAGGCCGAGGCGGGCGGAUUACCAAGGUGUGCCUAUAAUCCCAGCUACUCUGCAGGCUGCGGCAGGAGAAUCGCUUGGAUCCGGGAGGCAGAGGUUGCAGUUAGCAGGCCGUUAGGAAAGGUAUUUGAGUCCUGUGACUUUCCACUAUCCAGCAAAUCACAUCUGGUAGCUGUUAUUCUCCUUAUUAAACACAGAUAUCCAUGUAGAUAAGCAUAAUCUUCCCUUCAUGCUUUUCCUUUCCUUCAUUCAUUUCCUUCAUUCAGAGCCGAGAUCGUGCCACUGCACUCCAGGCUGGGUGGCAGAGCAAGACUCCGACUAAAAAAAAAAUGAAAAUAAUAAUAAACUAUGGGGAAGAAUAAAGAAGGAAUUGCCUACAUUUAGAGGGAGGUAGAAGAACAAAAAGAGGAAAAUAUAUAACUAUUUUAAAACCUUUUUAACAUAAGUCUUUCAAAUCCUAGAAACUUGGGACUUGUGUGAGGGGAGGACCCUUCUCUCACUCUGUUAUACUUUCUGAAUGUUUUCAAAAGCACUGUAGACACGGUGAUGCUUAGAACUGGGGGAGGCCAGGCCUCCUGGAAGAAGUUUGCUGAGGGCCUGUGGAUAGAGAAGCAGAAACAGGAACACAGCCUGGGGCAAACAUCGUGCGGAUGAUGGGCAUCUCAAACACUGGAAAUAAAUGAGGCUGCGGGAGCAAAAUUGCUGGUUCCCCUGCUGAGCACACCUGCCCUGCUUGGAACAAGAGCAAAGAUGUCUGGUGGGGGAGCCGAUGUGAGAUGGAUGGAUAGACAGGGCCCCCAGCCUGGGGGAUGGGACCAGGGACCAUUUGUGAGAUAAACCCAGGUAUUAGCCCAGGGCAGAGGCUCCCAGCUGACCUUAAAACAGAGGCAGCCCAGCUCCACCCAGCACUUCUUCAGCAGGCCUGGGCUGGGGGUCAGAGAACUCGCAUUUCUAAGAUGUUCUCAGACUGAGGGACCCAGUGGAAAAGCGUCCUGAUUACUGGGUUAUAAACACCUGAAGAGUUCUGAAAGAAAUGGGCCACACCCUCAGGAUCCAAAGUCUUAAAGGAAAGCUGAAGAGGUGUCCUGUGAGUUCAGGGGCACCCCGGUGAAGCCUGGGGCUUAGAAAGAAAAGAAGUGUUUAUACCAGGAGAGCAGAGAGCAAGGAGCAGGGAGGGGCCAGGGCAGCCCCCAAACCGGAGCCCGAGGCCGGACCCUGCCUCUGACGAGGAGCAUGCCCGGCCACCAUGCUGACCCCUGCAUCCUUCUUUCUUUGUCCCUUGAAGCCCCUCAAAGUCCUUCCUGAGACACAUCCCCUCCCAAGGCACACCCUGGAGGGUCUCAAGACUUGAAAAUCAGUCAAGAAGCAGGCAAGGAGUGAGCUGAUCACUGUAGUUAAAGAGACGGCACCAAAGACAUUGUACAAAAGAGGGCAGGAAGAUGUCCAUGUGUCUGCACCAGACCUUCUGCGCCAGUGAGGGAUGCUGCAGGCAAAGGCAGGGCAGAUGGCAAGAGGGUCCCUACCCAGCCGCAGCACCCGGCAAUGCCCACCAGAGCCGACCCCCUGCCCGUGUUCUGUGAGUCCACGUCGUCUGCAUCAGGGUGCUGAUGGCAAAGCCUCCGGGUGUCCCUCCGUUGCAGGGUCUACUCCUGCAGUGUGGACAGCAGAGACGGAGGAAGUUCUCCCAAGUGCGGGGAGGUAGGCUCUGUGGGAAGCCCUUCACUCAAAGGCACACUCAUGGUUUUGUUACCAGAGCAGCUGAAGAAUUCAAAGUAGCUUCUGAGAACUCUAACUGUCUGGACCAUGCUAUAGUAAGGGCUAAGCUAACUUAAGAGCCAUCCAAAAAAAAAAAAAAAAGAAGAAGUGAAAAGGUGAUUGAUGUCAGAUGUAAACCCAAGAGGGUAACACAGCAAUGCUGAGACAUCCGAAACAACUUCCUAUUAGCUGUCCAGGACCUUAACCCAGGUCUUAAGGGAUCCUGUCUUUUUUAGUCUAAGGCAGUUGAAUACUAAAUUAUUAAAACAGGUCUUAUUUUAUGACCCUAAUCAUCGACAAGAGGCGCCUUUUGUUGUUGUUGACACAGAGUCUGGCUCUGUAGCCCAGGCUGGAGUGCAGGGGCGCAUCUCGGCUCACUGCAACCUCCACCUCCCAGGUUCAAGUGAUUCUCCUGCCUCAGCCUCCAGAGUAGCUGGGGUUACAGGCACACGCCACCAUGCCCAGCUAAUUUUUGUAUUUUUAGUAGAGACGGGGCUCCAUCACAUUGGCCAGGCUGGUCUCGAACCCUGACCUUAAGUAAUCCAUCCACCUCGGUCUCCCAAAGUUCUGGGAUUACAGGUGUGAGCCACCGUGCCUGGCCGACGAGGCACUUUUCCCUCAAGUUAACAAAAGGAAAAGAGAAAAGAGAAACCUUCUGAAGACAAACAAUAGAUAAUUGGGUGAAAGAUGGAUGAAUUCUCCCCACGUCUGUAACUCCUAAGAAACAGAGGCCCUAUGUUCUGCAUGAGGACAUAUCCGUUGUUCACAAUCCCCACACUCAGCUGAAAACCACAAACCCACCCAGAGGGAUUGCCUUUCUUCUUCUCCAUUUGGGUACUUGCUCUCCAGCUGAAUUCCACUUUAAUUUCAUCAGUGAAGGUCAGUUCAAUUGGAUAGACUGCAAGCUCUUUUCAGAAUGUAAGGGAGGAUUACUCUGUGAGAGAUCUAAUCAUUUAUUUUUAAAAUACA
rnacentral:lncRNA from 1 species